rnacentral:rRNA from 1 species
UACGUAGGGGGCUAGCGUUGUCCGGAAUCAUUGGGCGUAAAGAGCGUGUAGGCGGCUUGGUAAGUCCGCUGUGAAAAGUCCAGGGCUCAACCCUGGAAUGCCAGUGGAUACUGUCAAGCUAGAGUCCGGAAGAGGCGAGUGGAAUUCCUGGUGUAGCGGUGAAAUGCGCAGAUAUCAGGAGGAACACCAAUGGCGAAGGCAGCUCGCUGGGACGGUACUGACGCUGAGACGCGAAAGCGUGGGGAGCAAACAGG